rnacentral:rRNA from 1 species
AGUGAACGCUGGCGGUAGGCUUAACACAUGCAAGUCGAACGGCAGCACAUUAAGAGCUUGCUCUUACGGGUGGCGAGUGGCGGACGGGUGAGGAAUACAUCGUAAUCUACUUUUUCGUAGGGGAUAACGUAGGGAAACUUACGCUAAUACCGCAUACGACCUACGGGUGAAAGCAGGGGAUCUUCGGACCUUGUGCGAUUGAAUGAGCCGAUGUCGGAUUAGCUAGUUGGCGGGGUAAAGGCCCACCAAGGCGACGAUCCGUAGCUGGUCUGAGAGGAUGAUCAGCCACACUGGAACUGAGACACGGUCCAGACUCCUACGGGAGGCAGCAGUGGGGAAUAUUGGACAAUGGGCGCAAGCCUGAUCCAGCCAUACCGCGUGGGUGAAGAAGGCCUUCGGGUUGUAAAGCCCUUUUGUUGGGAAAGAAAAGCAGCAGGUUAAUACCCCGCUGUUCUGACGGUACCCAAAGAAUAAGCACCGGCUAACUUCGUG